rnacentral:rRNA from 1 species
GACGAACGCUGGCGGCGUGCUUAACACAUGCAAGUCGAACGCUGAGGGCCUGGCUUUUGUUGGGUUGGAUGAGUGGCGAACGGGUGAGUAACACGUGAGUAACCUGCCCUCUUCUUUGGGAUAACGCCCGGAAACGGGUGCUAAUACUGGAUAUUCACUGAUCUUCGCAUGGGGGUUGGUGGAAAGGGUUGUUCUGGUGGGGGAUGGGCUCGCGGCCUAUCAGCUUGUUGGGGGGGUGAUGGCCUACCAAGGCUUUGACGGGUAGCCGGCCUGAGAGGGUGACCGGUCACAUUGGGACUGAGAUACGGCCCAGACUCCUACGGGAGGCAGCAGUGGGGAAUAUUGCACAAUGGGCGAAAGCCUGAUGCAGCGACGCCGCGUGAGGGAUGGAGGCCUUCGGGUUGUAAACCUCUUUCGCUCAUGGUCAAGCCGCAACUGUGGGUUGUGGUGAGGGUAGUGGGUAAAGAAGCGCCGGCUAACUACGUG